rnacentral:rRNA from 1 species
ACCUAAUAGAUACCCUGGUAGUCCACGCCCUAAACGAUGCGAACUGGAUGUUGGGUACAUUACGGUACUCAGUGUCGAAAGCUAAACGCGUUAAGUUCGCCGCCUGGGGAGUACGGUCGCAAGACUGAAACUCAAAGGAAUUGACGGGGGCCCGGCACAAGCGGUGGAGUAUGUGGUUUAAUUCGAUGCAACGCGAAGAACCUUACCUGGCCUUGACAUCUGUCGAAUCCUGCAGAGAUGCGGGAGUGCCGCAAGGAACGACAAGACAGGUGCUGCAUGGCUGUCGUCAGCUCGUGUCGUGAGAUGUUGGGUUAAGUCCCGCAACGAGCGCAACCCUUGUCCCUAGUUGCCAGCACAUCAUGGUGGGAACUCUAGGGAGACUGCCGGUGACAAACCGGAGGAAGGU